UCUACCCUAACCCGACUCAUCCAAUCUUUGAGCGGCCAACAAAACCCCAAAAUUUCAUUUCAAAUUUCAAAUCCAGAGCCCUUUUUCAAUUUCGUUUUCUCUCUCCCUCAAAGAUCUGGAUUUGGAUCUGGAUUGGAUGUGUUCUCUCUUCACAAUUCACCACAAGUUAUGCCGGAGAAACACUGAAACGCAUAAUUAGUCAGAUCUUGAAGGAUUUUCGACCCGAAUCACUGUUAGGAGGCUACAAUCAAAUGUACAAGAGGCUGAGAGGUAUUGGUUUUCUCAUAAUCGAAAGAUGGAUGAAGGGCAGUGAUGAACUGGGAUUUGAUAGGAGUUUCAGGGGACCUCUGAUGGUGUUAUAUUCAAGUGCGUCUCUUACCCUAUUCAGGUUCACCUACGAUGUGAUUUCUUCUAUGUUGAAGGCUAUGAUGAUCCAGAUUUCCGUUUUAGAAGGACUAGAGGCGUAAACUGAUGUCCCUUGAAGAAUGACUAUCCUAUUUUUACAAUUUGAGGCUUUUUGUUUCCCCUGGACUGGAUCCAAAUGCAAAUAUUUUAGUUGCAAGCUAAACCUUUUGUUCUGAAAAUACACGGUCCAUGUUACGCCUGGUGUGAUUAGAAACGAAUCCAUCAAAGAGAAUCUGAUUACUCAUAAAAGUGGCAUCAGGUGACCCUACAAUAGCAUUUGAGUAUGUUUUCAGUUUUGAGUUCCAUGUCAAAAGGAAUAUAUACUAUAUUAUGUUAUAUUAACAUGUUCAGAGUUUAAUUAUCUGGUUACAUUUUUUACUUCACAUAUCCUCUUGCUCCAGAUCUCGCUCCAGGUUCUACACAUCUGCCGUUGCGGGAAGAAUAAGGAAGGCAACACUGCCAAGCGGUUAAGUAUCUUCAAGCCAGUUUAUCUGUUUAUGGAUGUAUUAUCUUAAAAGUUACUUAAAAAGUUAAAUAAUAUAACCUUUCUAUGGAUGUAUGCCUUUGUUUAAGCAGUUGGUCUUAAUUAACAAUCAAACCAUGACUGGUACAAUCUGUAGCCUCAUUUUUGAAAAGCUAAGAUCUUUUUAGUGUACACAAUAUUUUGUGGUUUCCAUUUAGAUAUUUCAAACAUUCAAGUACUGUGUUGAGCAUGAGUUUCUGCAUGACGCGGGAAAAAUAUUUGUGACAGUGUUCGUGGGGUGAAUUAAGUUUCAAGCUAUUAGAGAUUUGUGAAUUAUAACUGUAAUUUGAUUUUCUUUUUAUAUGUAAUAUGCAAUUUAAAUUUAUGAAAAGAUUUACAGAUUUAUGAUAACCAUCGUUUUCUGAAACCCAUGUAAUUUAUGAGAUUAUAAUUAAGUAUAUUGAUUUCUAACAUUGCAUAGGACGAGACUCUUUAAAAAGCUAUUCCACAACGGAAACUCCUGACCUUCUGAAUAUGUCAACCCUUAUGGCCGAAAAUGUUAAUUGAUCCAAACUGUUGUGGCAUGUUUAUUAAACAUAAGUUUUGCAGAUUAUGCUGUUGUUAAGGAAUUACGGUUAGUUUACCCCAAUAUGGGUAAUAGUUUUAUUUUUUGCGAAUAAAGUCAAAGUUGGUGUUUUUUUUUUCUAAAUUUUGGGAGAUGUGUUUUAGGUGGAAGGCUUUGGACUUUGCAGCUUUGGAUCGACUGGAAAACAUUUUGAUGAAGAUCGAACUCAACAGAGCGGGCAUGAUCCCGUGUUAUGUUCAGUCCAGAAUGGGUCGGGCCGUGCAUGCAACCAACCAACACUUUUAUCAACUCGAUUCAUUUAUAGGUAAAUAGAUCAAGUUUUGUAACGUUUGGUCUCUAAAGGAGCAAUGCAGGUAGGUACUUUUGACAACUGAUAAACAGUCAAUAAAGCUUAUAUGCUUCUGCCUACAAUGCUUGAAUUAGUUGUGAUUGUUUUGGUCUUAUACUAUGAAACGAACAAUGACCUGGUCGUUUCUGGACGGACGUUUGUGGUGGCGGUUGUGGGUUUGCUAUGGCCAUUUCAGGUUUCUGACGAGUCUACCUGGCGUGGGCCCCAACGUUGCAGCCUGCAUAGCUUUGUUCUCUCUAGAUCAACAUCAUGUUGUUCCUGUUGAUACACACGUCUGGAAGAUAUUCCCAAGCCCGCCCUGCAAUGGCGGAUCUAGAAAAUCAACAUUUCAAAAAAAGGAGUAAUGAAAUCGAAAAAACGUCAUUUUUUUCCCAAAAUUUACACUACCGCUGGAGCGUCAAGGGGUAGCGGGGCUACCCCUAUUUACAAGCUAUAUCUGCCCCUGCCGGCCCAAUGUGACAUGUUUCUGUCAGUACCGAUUUUGACUCAUUGCCUAAUCUUUUG